GUCAUCAAUUGGUAGCUUUUGGGGGAAGGUUUAGGUCACCAGGUGGUAAUAGGGGCACAAAUAGGCAAACAAUUGGUAGUAAGGGUCAUUAUAGGUUACCAGGUGGUGGUAGAGGUCAUUGUUGGUCUACAGGUGGUGGUAGAGGUCAUUGUUGGUCUCCGGGUGGUGGUAGAGGUCAUUGUUGGUCUCCAGGUGGUGGUAGAGGUCAUUUAAGGUUGCCAAGUGUUGGUAGAGGUCAUUGUUGGUAACCAAGUGGUGGUAGAGGUCAUUGUUGGUCUCCAGGUGGUGGUAGAGGUCAUUUAAGGUUGCCAAGUGUUGGUAGAGGUCAUUGUUGGUAACCAAGUGGUGGUAGAGGUCAUUGUUGGUAACCAAGUGGUGGUAGAGGUCAUUGUUGGUCUCCAGGUGGUGGUAGAGGUCAUUGUUGGUCUCCAGGUGGUGGUAGAGGUCAUUGUUGGUCUCCAGGUGGUGGUAGAGGUCAUUUAAGGUUGCCAAGUGUUGGUAGAGGUCAUUGUUGGUAACCAAGUGGUGGUAGAGGUCAUUGUUGGUCUCCAGGUGGUGGUAGAGGUCAUUGUUGGUCUCCAGGUGGUGGUAGAGGUCAUUUAAGGUUGCCAAGUGUUGGUAGAGGUCAUUGUUGGUAACCAAGUGGUGGUAGAGGUCAUUGUUGGUCUCCAGGUGGUGGUAGAGGUCAUUGUUGGUCUCCAGGUGGUGGUAGAGGUCAUUUAAGGUUGCCAAGUGUUGGUAGAGGUCAUUGUUGGUAACCAAGUGGUGGUAGAGGUCAUUGUUGGUCUCCAGGUG
rnacentral:lncRNA from 1 species